GGUGGAGGAACCGCAUGGUAUCCAUCGUAGGAAGUGGAGCAGAAUCAUGGCCACUAUUGUGGCCUGCCAGAGAAUGAUGGAGCCACGCAGAAUCCAUCACAGGAAGUGGAGCAGAGUCGUGGCUGUUACUGCGGCCUGCCAGAGAGUGAUGGAGCCAUGCGGAAUCUGUUGCAGGAAGUGGAGCAGAGUCGUGGCUGUUACUGCGGCCUGCUAGGGGA
rnacentral:lncRNA from 1 species